rnacentral:lncRNA from 1 species
AGGAAAACAGCGAAGUGCUUGAGAUGGCCGGCAGAUCACAUGUGACUGCACAAGUUCUUUCGCUGCUGUUUUUUUUUUUUCUUCUUCUUCUCUCUCUCUCUUCCUUAGUUUUUGGAAAAGGAAGAGAGAGAGAGAAAAAAGAAACAGGAAAGAUGACAACUUUUAAAGAGGAACGAUAUUUUGUUGUCUGCUGGGAAAAGAGACGCCUUUAUGGAACUUUUAGGUUUGUCAGACAGUUUAUAGGACAGUGCAAGUUGGUGCCUGCCAAGCCCCAGACAGAUUGUUAAUGUUCCAUGACAGGGAUAAAUAAAUUACUGCUGUCUGCAACACGCUUGUGCUGCAAGCCCACUGAGCAGCCCAGCUGCCUGUGUGCUUUUCUUGGGGGCCUGGUGGAAGUAUAACUGCACAGAAGGCCUCAGCCUGCUGCCUACAGGACUGGACCUGGUUUAAAGGGGAAAAGGGUGUGUCUCACACUUUUAUUUUGGGCUUUAUGGUAGAAUCCAUUUACCAAAUAUCUGUUCCCCACCUCCCUUAUUAUAUUAUUAUUAUUAUUAUUAUUUAUUAUUAUUUUUUUUAACUAGAUCCCUGGCGUCUGUCUCCAUUUUGGUCUUCUUCUGGUCCAUACCCACGGUCCUCCUCCUGGGAAAGGGAUACAUUUGUAUCUGCUAAGAGCCUGAGGUCUUCUACAGUGGAGCUCCGUUUACACUGGUGUUCUCUGUGCAGUGGCUGAGUGUGUGCUGCCCGGGAGGGGGGCUGGGUGGCACUCCUUGGGCAUAAUGUACUUUCACCAUGGCAGUUUGGCAACUCAGCUGGCAGAGUGACAGGUGUAAUGGUUGCUCUAGUUAGUGGACACACUGCUCAUAUUACAAAGCCACCUCAUCUGCGGAGCCCUGGCCAAGUGAUUUGCAAUUCUCCUUGCAGAUAGGACUCUGGGCCUGGCUUAUUAAGUGACAUUAAGGUCAGGAAUCGGGUGGGUGUGAGAAACAUGUGUGUGCCCUUCGCCUCGCUGUUUCUAAGUGCCCUGCAGCGACUGACUCUUCAAAGCCUUCCUUGGAAAAGGAAAUAACCCAUCCCAUCCCACCCCCUCUGGCUGGCCCUUCCUUCUCAUAGGGUGUGGUGGGGGAUCCUUUGGUGUGUGUGGACUUCCUGCCCUUGGGGUUUGCAGAAUGUUAGGCUUGCUGCCAACUGUGCUGGUUCCUGUGUGCUUGACGGCCACUGCUCUCCAGAUAUAGGCAGUUGCUGGGACAGGCACAACUCAGUAUUGUUUUUAUUGCCUGUGCCCCGGGGACUGGUAACCUGUGUGUAGAGUUAGGGCAGCCAUUUCUGUAGUAUAAGUUCACUGUCUAAGGCCAAAGCCCGAGGGCUCCUUGAACCUGGCCAGACCUGCAUGGACCCUGGCACUUGGUCAGAUCGCUAUGGCCGGAAUUUCACUUAUGGGCAUGUGUUCUCUGCUGGGUUCUCUUCUUAAGUGCUGUGCAUCUAUCUAUAAGCUAAUAUAAUCUCCAGAGCAGCUCUGUGACAGACACAGCUGAGUUGUAUGGAUGCAAGUCAAAAAGUUAUCCAACGUCAUAUAAAGCAGUGGAGACCUGAACAGCUUGGACCCACGGGGCUAAGCGAUCUGUGGCUUUGACACUUUGGAAAAGGGCUACCCAGGCAGGCAUGCAUUCGCCAGCAGAGGCCAUAAGAGUUGGAGAAGGAAUGCCCCGCCAUUUCUCUGCUGGUCUCUGGGUAGGCCAAUUGCAGUGGGAUUCUCGAUUGCUAGCAUGCCCAGGGUCCUCCUGUCCGCUCCCCAACUUCCGUGUUUUCUUAGUAGCCUCCUUGUUCUGAUUCUGCUCUCUGCUGCUGUCUGGGCUCUCGAGAGUGGCUCAGUUCUGAGAACAGGGCAAGCAGCGGCUUUGUGUUUGCUACAUUGUAACUUCAGUUCCUUGACAGGAAGGCACAAGCCCCCUAGCUAGUACUUUUUUUAUACCCUUCAGAACUAUGUACCUUCCUCUUUCCAUAGUGGUCUGGAGGAACUUGACUGCCCACUUAGGGAUAAAACAGGCUCACAGAAGGGCAAGUGGGGCUAAGGGGAGGCUGUUUAUGUAGAAGUGUCUAUUUAUGUAGAAGAAUCAUGGAGUACCAUACUUUUCCCUUUGGCUUACAUUUGAAGAAACUUGCAGUGAAGAUUCUGGACUGGGCACCACAGGGCAUCAAUCAAUUAGCCACACACAGAGAGAUGUGUAUACACCCUGUAAAUACUUAAGCUUACAAGGGAUGUGCAUAUAAAAUUGGGCCUGAUUGAACAGCCCUUGCUGUGUUUGGAAGCAUUCUCAUGACCACGGAAAGGACAGGCGGGCUCUAAGGUCAAUAUUCAGCAGGCGUUUCCUUGAGUCUGGUGCAUGGAAUACGUGCCAGCUCCUAUACGAUGUGCACCUUGGCACCCACUCAUUGCCAUGCAUGUUGGAGCUUCUGUCGUGUUGGUCCACAGGCUGGUCUCGAAGGUUCCGGGUGGGGAGAGAGCUCUCUCAGUGACUAUCUUGGUCUAGCCUCCGUCUUCCUUAUAUCCGUAACACUGUGAGUACCUAGAACUUGAGCCUGUCCUAGAGUAGCUGAAUCUGUCAGUAUCUGGGUAGAAAUAAGAUUUUUCCCUCUCAGUUCAUUUGCUCCUG